rnacentral:rRNA from 1 species
GGAUCAUUACCGAGUUAUACAACUCAUCAACCCUGUGAACAUACCUAAAACGUUGCUUCGGCGGGAACAGACGGCCCUGUAACAACGGGCCGCCCCCGCCAGAGGACCCCUAACUCUGUUUUUAUAAUGUUUUUCUGAGUAAACAAGCAAAUAAAUUAAAACUUUCAACAACGGAUCUCUUGGCUCUGGCAUCGAUGAAGAACGCAGCGAAAUGCGAUAAGUAAUGUGAAUUGCAGAAUUCAGUGAAUCAUCGAAUCUUUGAACGCACAUUGCGCCCGCCAGUAUUCUGGCGGGCAUGCCUGUUCGAGCGUCAUUACAACCCUCAGGCCCCCGGGCCUGGCGUUGGGGAUCGGCGGAAGCCCCCUGUGGGCACACGCCGUCCCUCAAAUACAGUGGCGGUCCCGCCGCAGCUUCCAUUGCGUAGUAGCUAACACCUCGCAACUGGAGAGCGGCGCGGCCAUGCCGUAAAACACCCAACUUCUGAAUGUUGACCUCGAAUCAGGUAGGAUACCCG